rnacentral:lncRNA from 1 species
GAAGCCGCUGGGAGGCCCCGCCGGCCCAGCACGCGUGGCCCGGGGUCCCGGCCGGCCGCCGGCCAGCACAUCUUGUCUCCGUGGGCAGGCGGCCGGGGCUCGCCCCAGGACAAAGAUAAACCUUCUCAGAGCUUAAUUUCCCGGAAAAGGGUUCUGUUUUUCUUAUUAGUUGGCACUAAUGGUCAAACUUUUUUUUUUUUUUUUUUUUUUAUGAUAGUUGCAGAAAUGAAACUUCUGCUGAAACACUAAAGAGUUGGGGGAUUUUAGGCAAUAAUUCUUAAAAAUAUUUUUAAACUAAAGUAGUCGAAAUACUAAUGAGUUUCAGCAGAAAUUUAGCUACAGAGUUUCUCUUGUUUCAUUUUAAAGUGAAGCCUACUUUAAUAUUAAAUCUGUCUGGGUUUGUACAUUAUUAAAUAAUAGAGGGGGCACUAAACGUUUUAUGCUGGCUUAGUCAAGUGUGUCACUUUUUCUUUAUUUUUUUCUUCUAAUGAAUUUAUACUGAGAGCUGUUACGAAAGAAGAAAACAAAGUGGUCAGGGUGGCAAGAGAGAAGCAUUGCUGGCUAGGUCCCUUAUUUUUCUGCUUCCCGGAGCUGCGGGUGCAGGCGUGUGUUCGUGCAGCUCCCAGCGCAAGGGGGCUCCGGUCAUCAUCAGGCGUUCUGGGGACACCGGGUGGGACCCUCUUCUGACAUGUGAUCUACCGAGAGCUACUUUGAGUCCUACGAUGACAAUGUUAUCACUGCCACAUCUCUGGGAACCAGUUAUUCACAGGUACACGUGGGAACCCUGAGUAUGAGAUUCUGCUUGGAGGAAAUUUCACCCUCUUCAGGAGACCAGUGCUAGGACUGCCUACUUAAGAAGCUGAGAGUGAGUUAGGAACAUUGAUGAAGCCUCUAUUCUGUGAGGUGGGUAUGUGUGUUUUAUUACAGUUUCAAAAAAGCAUAAAAAAUUCAAACCAUUUGCCAGAGUCCAGCCACAGAACUAUUUAAGAGCUGGAAAUAUAGUCCAGAAAUUUUCUGCCAUGGAAUAUGUUCCAAUCAACAAUUACAAGCAAGGUCUUUUGCCCUUCUCUGAAGGAAGUGAUGAGUUUUUGCAUUCUGUUAGUGGUUCAAGUGGCUCUUUUGAUUUUUGAUUUCUGACUAAUGGAAUAAGUGACUCUCACAGAUACUUGCGCUUCUCUGCUCUUGUGAUGGCCUUGGAUCAAAGUUUGGGGAGAUAAGUUUGUAAUAGGGGAGCCAGUGGAUAUCAAGCGUGUCCACUGGAUCCAGGCCAAACAUAAUCUGGGGCUCAGAAAUGUUCUGUGUGUUUCAUUACUUUUUCAUCUUUUAGCAUUCUGUCAUGGUCAGAUGCACCAGCAGUAUUUUAAUAAAUCCCCUUCUGUAUUCA